rnacentral:rRNA from 1 species
UUAUCAGUCAUGCAUAGCAUAUCAAUAAGCGGAGGAAAAGAAACUAACAAGGAUUCCCCUAGUAACGGCGAGUGAAGCGGGAAGAGCUCAAAUUUGAAAUCUUCAAGGGUUUCCCUUGACGAAUUGUAGUUUAAAGAAGUGUUUUCUGUUAGUGGAGUGGCAAAAGUUCUUUGGAAUAGGACAUCAUAGAGGGUGAGAAUCCCGCAUUUGGUCAUUCCUUCUAGCUUUGUGAUACACUUUCAAAGAGUCGGAUUGUUUGGGAAUGCAGUCCAAAAUGGGUGGUAAAUUUCAUCUAAAGCUAAAUAUUGGCGAGAGACCGAUAGCGAACAAGUACCGUGAGGGAAAGAUGAAAAGAACUUUGAAAAGAGAGUUAAACAGUACGUGAAAUUGUCAAAAGGGAAGCGUUUGACACCAGUGUUGUUUAGUUGAAAAUCAAUUCAAUAAUUUUUGAUUUUGAGUAGUAUUGACUUCAUCAGCUUGCUGCUUUCUUUUCAGAAAUUAUUGAAUGCACUUUUCAGUUAACAAGUCAACAUCAAUUUCUUUUGUUGUAAAAGGGUAAGAGGAAGGUGGCUUACGCUUCGGCGUAAGUGUUUAUAGCCUUUUACCUCUGCAAUCGGAGAGAUUGAGGACAGCAGCGUAGACUCUUCGGGGUUAGAUACACUUGUGCUAAGCUAUAGCCUUGUAUAGACAACUUGUUGACUAUGCUCAGUCAUGUAGCUUACUCGCUUAUGCUAUUUUACCUACGCUUAGGAUGUUGAUGUGAUACUGCGAGCA